rnacentral:rRNA from 1 species
UACGUAGGGACCAAGCGUUGUUCGGAUUUACUGGGCGUAAAGGGCGCGUAGGCGGCGUGGUAAGUCACUUGUGAAAUCUCUGAGCUUAACUCAGAACGGCCAAGUGAUACUGCUGUGCUAGAGUGCAGAAGGGGCAAUCGGAAUUCUUGGUGUAGCGGUGAAAUGCGUAGAUAUCAAGAGGAACACCUGAGGUGAAGACGGGCUGCUGGGCUGACACUGACGCUGAGGCGCGAAAGCCAGGGGAGCAAACGGG